GAGAUUAAACCCUAAUGGAGGUUUGUUAACCCAUUUUCCCCUCCCCUCCCUUUACCUACCUUCAAAGCCCUGUUCACUCCCGUCCGAAGCCAGAAAAAAGAAGUAAACCGCAGAUGAAGUUUGUGGUGAAGAAGGCGUGGAGCAGUGGUGUUCGAGUUGGAGCAGUGGAGAUAGGAAGCUGCUCGGGACUCAUAGAGACACCGGCUCUUCUCUUAUCUACCCGUAAAGGCCUUCCUCAUUUUAUCUCUCCUGACCUUCUCACUUCUCUCCCUUCACCUGAUUCUCAUCUCCUUCAAGUUUCUCCACUUCACUUUCUGGAAGGACUUUCUCCAACCACAAUCUCACAAAUAGGAGGCCUUCACCAAACGCUUGGUUUGCACGAAUAUGGAAUUGCAGCUGUAGCCAGGGAUUCCAUUCAAUGCCUUCCUGAGGCUAAGGGAACCACCAAACUCGGAGCAUCUUUUGAGACUCCGUGUGGUCGUCUACUGAUUCAACCCAAAGAUUAUGUUGAAAUGAUUUCUUGCAUGCGCCCAAACAUAUGGGCUACUUUGGCUGAUGAAGUACCCGCUUGGGUGUCUGAUAAAAGGAACAAAACCUCAGUAGAUAGAACUUUGAGGUGGCUUGACGAUUGCCUUGCACUAAAUUCGGUAAAGGACAAUGCAACUGGAUCCAUCUUUGGUGCCAUUGUGGGAGGCUCGGAUUUGGAUGAAAGGAAGCGAUGUGCAGAGGAGGUAGCCAAGCGAAAUGUAUCAGGUUAUUGGAUUGGAGGAUUUGGUCUUGGAGAGCGCAUUGAUGAGCGACCUGCUCUUCUAAGUACUAUUGUCGAGGUCUUGCCAGAUGAAAAGCCACGCAUGAUCUGUGGUCUUGGACUCCCAGAGGAGAUUUUGCAGGGAGUUGCUGCUGGAAUUGAUCUCUUUGAUUCAACAUACAUCUAUUCCCUCACGCUUGGUGGAUUUGCGCUAACCUUUUCACUGGACAAGAAUGGUAAUCAAGAUCACUUUCACCUAAGCCAGAUUGGAAGUGACUUGACUAAAAUUAAUUUGAGAGCAACUGCUUAUAGUGUACUUGUUCAGCCUGCUAAACCAGCGCAAUCCUAGAAAGAAGAAAAUCGGAAUAGGCGACUGUGAAGCUGCAGAGUAGGAAAGGAGCGCCGCCAUGAAAAGCUAAUGGGAUUGCGGUGCAUCUUCAAUGAAGGGUUAGUUGGGACUUUGGGACCUCAAUGGGAGGAGAGGUUGGAGCAGUAGUUGAAUCACAAACAUAUCUAUAGAAGGAGUCUCUAGCGGAGCAAAGGAUGGUGUACCAUGUAUCCUUAGAGAAUGUAACAUUUGUAGAAACAUAAAGGCAGUGUGUUGAGGGAGAAAGAAUAACAUCAAUAUCUUUUUUGAACUCUAGAAUACCCAAAAAAAGACAAUUGAACUGCCCAAGUAGACAAUUAUCACGGUUGGGAGAUAGAUCUUGAACAAAACAAGUGGAACCAAACACACGAGGGAUAUGAAGGGGGUCCUUUGGCAACAUAAUAGAGUGAAGUGUCGGAAUCUGAUUACCUUGGACUGAAGAUGGCAUGCGAUUUAGCAAGUAACAAGCGGUAAGAAAAACAUCACCCCAAAACUUUAAUGGUGCAUGAGAACUUAUCGGUUAAGUUAGAGCCGUAUGAAGAAGAUGACGAUGUUCUCGUUCAACGACAAUUUUUGAGGUGUGGGAGGACAAUUAGAUUGAUAUAUGGUGCAAUGUAAGUCAUAAAGGAAUUGAAAGGCAUAUAAAAGUACUUUAUAUUUUCAUUGCACAAUAGUCAAAUUGUUUUUCUGAGUCUAAAUCUCCAAACAAAAGGUUUGAGAUCAUCCCAUACGAUCUUCAUCCACAAGAGCUGACUAACCCUUUAAGCCAUAGCUCUAUAUUCCGCCUCCGCACUCGACCUCGCUACAACAAUUUUCAUUUCACUCCUCCAUGUCACCAAAUUUCCACCUAGAAACAUGCAAUAUUUGGAAGUGGAUCUCCUAUCAAUGGUGGAUCCUACAUGUGUGCAUGUUAGAAAAUUUUAAUUCAGCGAACACAAGGACAUAUCAGAGGUGAACAUAAACCAGCAGACAACAGACAAGGCAGGAAGCAAACAAUGCAAUAUAACAGACAAAUAAGUCUAUAAUUAAAAUAACAAGAGAACGAGUUCAGAGUAGCCUGGGUUGAAGCACGCAAGGCGCUGUCCUUAGAGAGAAAACGCCCCAACUGCACUGUCAAGAACUGAGAAUUGUAUGUUUGAAUUGUGUAUCCUUCUGCCGGAGGAUUCUCAUAUAUAUAGUAUAAUACAAUCCCUAAAAAUCUGCUAAAUUGUUAUAACUGCUAUCCUAUGCUAAUUAAAGAUAUAAGGCAAAAAAACACUUUUGGCCCUUGAUGUUUCAAGUUUCUGCAAUUUAUGCCCCUACUUUAUUUUUGUCGAUGUUUCUACCCCUCAUGUUUUCAAACAAUGCACCGUCUACCCCUCCGUCAGUCAGACACGUUAAAAAACUAACGGAAUGAACUGAUUUGACUUUUUUUUAUAUUUUUUGGACUUGCCACGUGGAAAUUACAAGUAAAAUUGGAAAAAAAGGGGCAUGAGAGAUUCAAACUCAAGACUUGUAAGUAGCAAAACAUGCUUUUAACCAAUUCAGUUCUAUACAUAAUUGAUAUAUACAUUAAGCAAAUUUAAUUUAUAUCAUUUCCUUGAUAAUCAUCAACUUCAUAUACUCUUCAUCUCUCUAAUCCACUCAGGAACCUCUCCUGAGAAAGCCUUGACGAACGAAGGGGUAGACUGUGUACUGUUUGAAAACAUGAGGGGUAGAAACGUCGACAAAAAUAGAGUAGGGGCAGAAUUUGCACAAACUUAAAACAUCAGGGGCCAAAAAUGCUUUUUACCCAAGAUAUAAUUACAGAAUUGCAUGAUUACAGCUCUGCAAUAAUGCAGGAUUUGCCAGCUUAAAUGCUGCAGUAAUUCUGUCAGCUAAUUCCAUUGACAUCCCCCCUCAAAUUGAUGCUGGUGAUUCUACAAGCAUCAAUUUGCUAACUAGGAAAUUAUGGCGCUGACGUGUCAAUGAUUUGGUGAAGAUGUCAGCAAUUUGAACAGAUGUGGAGACAUGAGGUAGAGUGAUAACUCUGCGGUCAUAGGCUUCUCGGAUGGAGUGACAAUCAACCUCUAUGUGCUUCGUCCGUUCAUGGUAAACAGGAUUUGCUGCAAUUUGAAUGGCACUUGUGUUGUCAGCAUGUAACGGAGUUGGUUGUGAUUGUAAGAAACCGAGUUCCGAAAGAAGACCACGCAACCAAAUAAUCUCAGAGCAUGCUGCCGACAUGGCACGAUAUUCUGCCUCUGUGGAUGACUUGGAGACUGAGUCUUGUUUCUUGCAUUUCCAUGAUAUUGGAGAAUUUCCGAUAAACAUACACCAACCAGUAGUAGAUUUCCUUGUGUCCGGACAUCCAGCCCAAUCAGCAUCGCUGUAGGCUUGGAGUUGUGGUGAUGAACCAGAAGUGAAAAAUAAGCCACGGAGAAAGAUGGAAAUGCCGAGGAGUUUGCAUGAAUUUACUUACUGUGUGGACAGCGAAAGAGACAUCAGGUCGUGUGAUGGUUAGGUAGAUAAGACUACCGAACAGCUUUCUGUAUAAAGUUGGGUCUUGUAGAAGUUCACCUUCAUCUCGUCUAUAUUUUACAUUAACUUCCAUGGGGGUAUCAACAAUAGUGGCAUUGGUAAGACCUGCUAAUUGAAUUAGAUCUUGAAUAUAUUUGUGCUGAGUUACGAAGAUGCCUUGUUGUUGAUAAUGGACUUCUAACCCCAAGAAGUAAGUAAGUUGGCCAAGAUCUUUCAUGUGGAAUGUGGAAUGCAGCAAUUUCUUGACCUUAGCGAUAGCCUCUUGAUCAGAACCAGUGACUACAAUGUCGUCCACAUAAACAAGUAAUACCACAAUUCCCUUAGAAGUCAUUUGCAGAAAAAGGGACGAAUCAUACUGACUUUGUGUGAAGGAAAAGCCAAGUAGUGUUGUUCGAAACUUUUCAAACCAUACCCUUGGUGCCUAUUUCAAACCAUAUAAAGAACGCUUCAGUUUGUAAACAUCAUUAGGGGAUUGGGUAGGCAUACCUUUCGGAAGUGUGAUGUACACUUCCUCCUUGAGGUCACCAUGGAGGAAUGCGUUCUUGACAUCCAUUUGAUGUAGUUGCCAACAUUGAGAUGCAGCAAUGGCAAGAAUAGUACGUACAGUAGUCAUCUUGGCUACUGGUGCAAAAGUCUCCUCAUAGUCUAGACCAUAUUCCUGCCUAUUUCCAAGAACAACAAGCAUAGCCUUGUAGCGAUCUAUAGAUCCAUCCGAGCACAACUUGAUAGUGAAUACAAAUUUGCUGCCAAGAGGUUUAACAGACGGGGGACAUGGAACAACUUCCCAUGUCUGAUUUUCUUCUAGUGCUAGAAGUUCUGCUUCAAUAGCUUUUUGCCAACAUGCAUGCUCCAUUGCUUGCUUAUAGGAAGAAGGAAUAGGAGCCGAUGUUAAAGUUGCUGUCAAGGAUAAAGGGGGAGCAUACCUUUCUGGGGGUUUACUAACGCGAGUGCUGCGUUGUAAAGGAGCUGGUUCUGGAACAAUUACUGGAUCAACAGCCAGAGAGUGAUCUGGAGAGGGCCCUGGAGGUGCAGAUGGCUGAUUUGGAGUGACAGUUGGACGUCUUUGGUAUACCAAGAAAGGUUUGGGUGAUGUUGGUUCUGCAGAAUUAUUAUGAAACAAUGGCAAAACAGAUAUGGAUGAUGCAGAGGAAGUGUCAUGAUUAGCUACAAAAAAAUGUGUAUUUUCUUGAAAAAUGACAUUUCUAGAGACCCGAAGCCGAUGUAGAUUAGGAUUAUAGCAUAGAAAGCCUUUUUGGUGGGCUGAGUAACCAAGAAAAGCACAUUUAACAGAUUGAGCUGUGAGCUUGGAGUGUUCUUGUGGGGGAAGAUGGACAUAACAAACACAACCAAAAGUGCGAAGAUUGGAAUAAGUGGGUGGGUGACCAAAUAACCGUGAGUAAGGAGAAUCAUUGUUUAAUGAUGGAGAAGGCAAACGGUUAAUGAGGUGGGCAGCAGUGGAGAGAGCUUCACACCAAAACUUUGAUGGGACAAAGGAUUCCAACAAAAGGGUGCGGACAAUAUCAAGAAGAUGGCGAUUUUUUCUUUCCACCACGCCAUUUUGUUGGGGAGUGGAAGGACAUGACCUUUGAGAUAAAAUACCAUUUGUUUUCAAAAAAUCUUGAAACAAAUUAGAUGUGUACUCCCCCCAUUGUCAGAACGAAGAAUUUUAAUUUUUGAAGAAAAUUGGGUCUCAACAUAGGCAUGAAAAAAUUUGAAAGCAGAGAAGACUUCAUCUUUAGAACGCAGAAAAUAUACCCAUGUGAAACGACUAAAGUCAUUAAUGAAAGUGACAAAGUACUUGUAAUUGACAUGAGAUAUAACAGGUGCUAUCCCCCAUAAAUCACUAUGAAUCAUAUCAAACGCUUGACUUAUAUUUGAUUGAUGAUUUGGAAAUGGUAGAAUCUUACUUUUACCAAGUUUACAAGAGGUGCAAUCAAAUUUAAUAGUACUAAGAGACGAGGUCUCUUUAUUACCAAGAACACCAUAUUGGAGCAAUUCAUGAAGAACAUUGGAGUUUGGAUGUCCUAGACGCUUAUGCCAUAAUUCAAAAUUAACAGCAGUAGCAGAAUGACAAGAAACAAAAGGCAAAGAAGAACAUGGAGACAUUGAAAAACAAAGUGGAAAAAGACGUCCAACUUUAGGCCCCCUCGCGAUCAGUUUCCCUGAGUGUUGAUCCUGCACAAGACAACCAGAUUUUGAGAAUGCAACUCGGCAAUCAUUGUCAGCCAAUUGACCAACAGAAAUAAGGUUACUAGUGAGACCGGGUGAAACAUAAACAUCAGUUAAAGAUGUAGAAAUAUCACCAAUAGCUGUGAUGGGUAAAUGGUUUCCAUUAGCAACCUGAAUUUUGAGAUUUCCAGAAUUUUGGGUGAUGUUUGUAAGAGCUUCAGCAUUGUUGGUCAUAUGAUUGGAUGCCCCAGAAUCAAAAUACCAAGGAGAGGAGUUGGGAGAAUGUUUACCUGAGAGCCCUAAAGCAGAGAAUGCUGAAAUUAUCAUUUGUUGAACAAUUUCAAGGGUUAAAGCUUGAACAGGGGUAGGAGCAUUAUGCUGCACAUUUGCUAUAUCCACAGAACUUGGGGCAAGAGGAGAAUGAACUGAGGUGGUAAAUGCUGUUGCAUUUUUCUUAGGUGGUCUUAUAGGACAUUCUUUAAUGACAUGACCAUCUUUUUUGCAGUAAUUGCAGGUCUUUCUAGGACAAUUUGAAGCAUAAUGUCCAAAUCCUUUGCAGCAGAAACAUUGAACAGCACUUAGGUCCCGUCCUCUAGGAUUUCCUUGAACAGUAUAGGCAACAGGAAGUGAGGCAGAUUUGUGCUGCUCCAUGGUUGCUAGAGUAAGGAGGCAGCGUUCUUCACGAAGCAGUUCAUUGAGGCAUGCAUCCAAGGAAGUUUGUACGGAAGUAAGACCUUCAGUAGACACACUAUCAUAGACAAUGUCAGUGUAAUCAGCCCAAAGAUUCAUGAAUUGAGAAUAUAACUCAGAAAUUGAAAGACUCUCCUGUUGAAAAAUGGCGAUGUCAUGUUCAAGCUGGAACCUUCGAGCGGUGUUAUUCUGGCUGUAUAUUUUCUUCAGGAGCAGAAGUGCUACCAUCAACAUGACCCCAAAGGCUCUUACCUUUGACAAAGAUCUGGAACUCAAAUGCCCAGGCUAAGUAGUUCUUGCCAUUAAGGCGAACCAAUAAAACUUCAUACUUUUCAGUAGACAUGAGGCUGAGGAAAAGAAUGAAGGCUGAACAAGAAACAAAAGGAACUUGGGCUUGACCAGGAUAAACUUAAGACAAAAGAGAGGAAAAAGAACUAGGAAUUUGGUGCAAAACUAUUAUAGGAUCGCAACCAAGACUGAUACCAUGUCAAGAACUGAGAAUUGUAUGUUUGAAUUGUGUAUCCUUCUGCUGGAGGAUUCUCAUAUAUAUAGUAUAAUACAAUCCCUAAAAAUCUGCUAAAAUGUUAUAACUGCUAUCCUAUGCUAAUUAAAGAUAUAAUUACAGAAUUGCAUGAUUACAGCUCUGCAAUAAUGCAGGAUUUGCCAGCUUAAAUGCUGCAGUAAUUCUGCCAGCUAAUUCCAUUGACAUGCACUGGGUAGAUUAAGAACUUGAUGCGCUCCUCUCCCAAGAUAUGUCAACCCGUUGAAUCUGUCGUGUGCAGCGAAAGAUCCCUGAACUGAUGAACAAACCGUGCUCUUUGAAUAUUGAUUAAUGGAAAAAACCAGUGAAAAUUAGGGGAAGAAGAAGGCAAUUCGUGUUAUGUAUUUUUCUGGGUUGAGAAAGCCGUUUCAAGACUCCUUUUGUAAAGGUUUUGUGCCAACGUGCAGCCAGAGGAAUAGGCAACGUGAGGAAAAAUAAAGAACGUGCAAUGGGAGUGGAGAAAGUUUCUAUCAUCUAUAAAAACUGAAUUGAGAAACAAAAUCCCUAAAAACAUGCAAUAUUUGGAAGUGGAUCUCCUAUCAAUGGUGGGUCCUACAUGUGUGCAUCUGUGUAAACUUCCGUAGAUAAGCUCCCUUCUUUCUCAAAAAGUAGUCCGCUCAAUGGGCUAAGAUUCUUGUUAAUGUCUGGAGACUGGAAGUGUCUCUCUCGUGGGUCAUACAUAUUGACUAACUACGCUGACUACAUAAGUGAUGCCUGCCCUAGUGUGGGAUAAGUAAAUGAUCUUUUGCACAAAUCGUUGGUAUUGGACCUUUUUAUUUUUAUUUUUUGGGCUCUCCUCAUCCCUCUCAAUUUUGUGGUUCUUCUCUAUGGGUACUCCUGUGGAUUUACUGCCUAAUUUUCUUGUUUCUUUAAGGAGGUCAAGGGGGAGUAAGCAACUUCUAUUCCAAGGAACUUCAACUUCACGAGAUUCUUCAUCUCGAAUUGAGCAAAUAGUUUUUCCUUUAGAUUAUGCCUUUUGAGCUUAUUGUUACCAGAAAUGAUUGUAUCAUCUACAUAAACCAAGAGAAUAGUGAGUUUAUCAUCUUGAGAGUGUUUAAUAUAGAGAUUAUAGUCACCUUGACUCAGUGUGUACCUCAAGGACACCAUAGUCUUAGUGAAUCUCCCUAACCAGGCACCCAGGGGGGGAUUGUUUAAGACCAUUAGGUCUUAUUCAAUCUAUAAACUUUAUUUCUCCCAUUAGCUAAGCCAUAUCUGGGUGGAAUCUCCAUAUAAACUUCCUCCUCUAAAUCUCUAUAGAGCAAAACAUGUGUCCUUCUCCCCCUUCCUAUCCAUAAAACACCUCCCAAACAAACCCUCUAGAAAACUCAAAAGUUGAUGGUAUUGAAUACAAACUUGAGCCCAUCUGAAUAGCACCUUUAUUCUGUUACUAUGUUGUUUUAUCAUUAUUCUUGUAAAGGUUUGGUGUUUGGUUUGUUUUUUGUAUUCAUAAGUUGAUAUUUUUCACUAGCAAUUACAAGAAUGCCACAUGGUUUUCAUUAUAUAUUUUGUUUUUCAUGAAUUUGAGCUUGAUAUGGGAAACCGAGUUUUUGUUAUUUUCCCAAUUCCAUUUGCAAAGUCUUGUCAAAAGGAAACAAUAUGAAAGUAAUGUGGCAUUUUUGUAAUAAUUAUUAGUUAACAUAUACGAACUGUAUUUUAAAAAUCCAAUGAGUGAUCACUCAUUUCUGAGCUUGUGUUU